rnacentral:rRNA from 1 species
GCUUACGGCCACACCACCCUGAGCACGCCCGUUCUCUUCUGAUCUCGGAAGCCAAGCAGGGUCGGGCCUGGUUAGUACUUGGAUGGGAGACCUCCUGGGAAUACCAGGUGCUGUAAGCAU